rnacentral:sRNA from 1 species
GAUACAGUCCCAGAGAAUGAAAUGCUCUGCUUAAACACAGGACAGGUACAGCACAGGCAGCUGCAGGGCUAGCCACACAUCCCUGCACUAAAGCACUGACAUGCCUCAGCCAGGAUGGUGAGGUACUAUCCCAGAGAUGGGAAGAUGCUCAGUUGUUAUGGGCCAUUCUGCCCUAGGUCCCU